rnacentral:rRNA from 1 species
UACGUAGGGUGCAAGCGUUAAUCGGAAUUACUGGGCGUAAAGCGUGCGCAGGCGGUCCGUUAAGACAGAUGUGAAAUCCCCGGGCUUAACCUGGGAACUGCAUUUGUGACUGGCGGACUCGAGUAUGGCAGAGGGGGGUAGAAUUCCACGUGUAGCAGUGAAAUGCGUAGAGAUGUGGAGGAAUACCGAUGGCGAAGGCAGCCCCCUGGGCCCAAUGACU